rnacentral:rRNA from 1 species
GACGAACGCUGGCGGCGUGCUUAACACAUGCAAGUCGAACGGAAAGGCCCUGCUUUUGUGGGGUGCUCGAGUGGCGAACGGGUGAGUAACACGUGAGUAACCUGCCCUUGACUUUGGGAUAACUUCAGGAAACUGGGGCUACUACCGGAUAGGAGCUCCUGCUGCAUGGUGGGGGCUGGAAAGUUUCGGCGGUUGGGGAUGGACUCGCGGCUUAUCAGCUUGUUGGUUGGGUAGUGGCUUACCAAGGCUUUGACGGGUAGCCGGCCUGAGAGGGUGACCGGCCACAUUGGGACUGAGAUACGGCCCAGACUGCUACGGGAGGCAGCAGUGGGGAAUAUUGCACAAUGGGCGGAAGCCUGAUGCAGCAACGCCGCGUGCGGGAUGACGGCCUUCGAGUUGUAAACCGCUUUCGCCUGUGACGAAGCGUGAGUGACGGUAAUGGGUAAAGAAGCACCGGCUAACUACGUG